rnacentral:rRNA from 1 species
GCUGUUAAGGGUUCGUAGUUGAACCGAGGGUUGCCAAGGGGAGGUUCCGUCCCAUUCGCCUUUGAUGCGUGACCGCCACUCUUGGAACUCGUGAACAUUCGAAACAGGGCACGGGAUUGGUUUCUUCCCAUUUUCGCGUGUCAUGCACGCUGGGGGACGCCCGUGAUUUUUACUGUGCUAAAAAAGUGCGACCAAAGCAGUCGUUCGACAUGAAUUAGAAAGCAUGGGAUAACAAAGCUCAACCUACGGUACUACCGUUUUGGCUUUUGUUGGUUUUAAAAGUCUGUGGGAGAUUUGGAUUCGCAUGACAAGCGGUUCGGGGUUCGUCCCCACGCCUCCGCGGUUGUUCGUCGGCUCCCGUGGGUCGCGGCGCCGUGGCUUGUGUAUCCAGGAAUGAAGGAGGGUUGUUCGGGGGGAACGUACUUGAGCGUGAGAGGUGAAAUUCUAAGGCCGCUCAAAGACGAACUACAGCGAGGCAUUUUCCAAGGAUACCUUCCUCAAUCAAGAACUAAAGUG